UACGGAGGGGGCAAGCGUUGUUCGGAAUUACUGGGCGUAAAGGGCUCGUAGGCGGCCAACUAAGUCAGACGUGAAAUCCCUAGGCUCAACCUAGGAACUGCGUCUGAUACUGGAUGGCUUGAAUCCGGGAGAGGGAUGCAGAAUUCCAGGUGUAGCGGUGAAAUGCGUAGAUAUCUGGAGGAAUACCGGUGGCGAAGGCGGCAUCCUGGACCGAAACUGACGCUGAGGGGCGAAAGCGUGGGGAGCGAACGGG
rnacentral:rRNA from 1 species